AACUGAAUUCUUUCUGGUUAAAGAAUCUCUUUUUAGUUGCUCUGGAAAAAUUAGGAAAUGGAUCCCACUAGAGCGCCUUCUACUUCUAAUAGGCCAUGAACUAGAUCAGAAUCAUUCUCAACGAGUUCAUAAGAAGUGAUCUCAUUUUUUUCAUCGGGUCCAGGUAGAGACCAAAGAUCUUGAGCGAUCGAUCCGGUAGAACAACUCAAAAGAUAAAAUUUUUGAAUUAGAUCGUGCUACUUUGAAAUCCGAUGGUGUUUUUCGUAGCUGUCCAAGGGUUGGUUUACUUUUGGACAUGCUUCGUUUUCUCUCUGCUCUUCUUCUUCGAGACACAUUUGGCAUGGUGCUAGAACCUUGUUUAGAGAUGUUUUUGCUGGUAUUCUCAAAAUGGAACUAAAGAAAACAAAAAAAAAAAAAAAAUUGGGGGGGGUCAAACUAACUUUCUUGAAUAACAAACUUCUUUAAAUUUAAAUUAAGAAAGUUAAAAUAAUAAUUAAAUAAAUUAAAUAUAAAUAAUAUUGAAAUUGCAAGUAUUCUCUUGACUUUUUGGGCUAUCGUUCAAGCGUGCGACUAAAUUCUUCAUUGGUAUGAAGUCAAAUGCAUUCUUUCUUUUUGAUAGUUGGUUGGCAGGGUCAGGACCUUUCUCACUGGGUGAGCACAUCCGAUUCGAAAGUCCUUUCCUAAACCACUUCCCAUUCAGUUUCUGAAAGAUAGAGAUAAGCUUUCUAAAUGAGAUGGAGUUCCACGAAUAUGCAGGCUAGAGCUUGACUGCAAGACCCAACCGUUGAGCAGGGACGAAAGUCGACCUUAGUGAUCCGACGGUGCUGAGUGGAAGUCUAAGUCACUUCGUUUCAUUUUGUCCAAGUUACUUCUUUUUUUGUCCAAGUUUCUUUUUUUUUUGUCUGACUCACUUCCUUUUUUCUUUGUGAGUUUCAGAAUACCCCCAUUCAUAGGUCUGAGAUCCACGUCUAUGAAUUGAAAGAGCCCUAGUCUUGAAUUGGAGUACUUGGCGGAUUACCUUGCGGAGCUGACAUUGGUCAAGUAUGAGUUCCUGAGUUUUCUUCCUUCUCUAGUUGCUGCAUCAGCCAUAUUUCUUGCUAGAUGGACACUGGAUGACUUACACCACCCUGGAAUCCAAUUUUGGAAUUCUACACAUCUUAUAAGGCAUCUAACCUGAAAACUACGGUAUCUGCAUUGCAAGACCUACAAUCGAAUGCAAAAGAAUGCCCACUAAGUGCUCUACGUAUCAAGUAUCGGCAGCAGAAGGUACACUAGUACGAGAGCUCAAUAACUAGAACAAAUUAAAAUAAAAACCACUCACACUUGGUCGAAGUUUGUUGCUUGCAUUAGUGAUUUUCUUGUGUUUGUCACAACAAAAGUUGCUAAGUUGCCAUCCUUUUUCUGAUCUUGGCUUGAGCUGAUAUAGAAGCUUUAAUUUGUCUCUUUCUUUCUUCGUUAUAGUUCAAAUCUAAAAUGAAAAAAAAAAAAAAAAAACUGAUGGAAAUAGGUUCCAAGUUCCAAAAAAUGAGGAACCUGUACCUGAGGGUAGGUUCUAGGUUCCAAACGGAACCGAACCGGAACCAGGAACCGCUCACUCCUAUUGUGUAUUAUGCGGAUGUUUCUUGGACACUAUUAUGGGUUCCACUCAAUACUCUGAGAAAAUAUUAGCUACAGCUUUGAGGCCAACUUAGCCAAAAAACAGGUCCAUUUAUUUUGCAACACGUAUUGUACAUGACCCCCACAAGUCAGUUUCAGAAAAUCUCAAGCAAAUGUGACAUCAACUAAUACUUUGUGUUGUUCCCUAAUUUUCUUUGAAUUUUAAGAGGAAUUGAUGAAACUUUUCAAUCAAAAUACGUAGAUUUCGUUCCAAAUUUUAUACCUUAAUAUUUGGAUAAAACCUUCAAUUUUCACUUAUCUUUGGAGGAGUAGAAUCUCUUGGCUCUUUCACCACUUGUUUGUAUAAUUUUAAAAUUGCUUGUAAGACAAUUUUGAAAUAUCUAUAACUCUAAAUGUCACAUCAUACCCAUUGAUAUGGCAAAAUACUUGAAGUUGCUCCCUAAUAAAAAUGAAUACCGUAGGAUGCAACAUUUUCCUUGCACUGAGUGUUUUACAGAGUUCUUAAAAAACAUUUGGUGUCAUCCAUAUUUGGUUUAUGCAAUGAGUAUCUCCACCAUAUAGGAUUCAAUUCAUAUAAAAUUCUCUCUCUCUCUCUUUCUCGAUCUCGAUUCACACGAGACUCUCUUAGAUAUAGUUCUCAAAAUCAUUAUAAUCAUUCAUAACUUGUAGUAUUUUAUUAAUACGUUCAUGAUGGAGUGCGAUUAGAACACACCGUUUUGCCUUGAUAAGUUAUGAUGGAAAGACACCCUUUGAAAGGGUAUGAGGGAGUCGUAUAAAAAAUUGGGAUGGUUAGCAGAAUAUAUGCUCAGAAAGAAAUUGUUUUCUUUUAUCUCUCCUUUCCAUCAAAAGAAAGAAGGCGUUACAUUUCUCCUUUACGAAAAUAAUUGGCAUUUAUGUUGUGGAAAUUGGAUGUUUUCCUCGUGACUGCAUUCAAAACAAUGUGAAGUAAUAUUGUUUGUCAUUCAUCCGCAAUUCAACGAUUGUUUUAGGGUAAAUUGUUCAUUGCGCAUCGUAAAGAGGUAAGUCGUCUUCCACCAACUUUCUUCCAACAUUGGUAUAAGAGCCUCGGUUGUGAUUUCUACCUUAUUUUUCAUCAAAUUUUCUCGUUUACCAAUUGAUAUCGAGAUCAAGAAAAUGAAAUCUACACUGUUUGGAUGUUUAUUGCUUGGAAUUGCAAUCUAAAUUGUUGAAAAUGAACUGAAGCAAAGAACAAGUUUGGGGUUGCGUACACCUGUAUGGUUUUGGCCAUUUUUCGAAAUAUCUUUUAGGCCAAAUAAAUUUUCAAAUAUACAGGGUGAAAGUACUCGUCAAGACGAGUCCAACGAUGGGUUGAGCACCGCCGGAGGAUGUUGGACGCGCCCAACGCAUUGGGAAUGCCAAUGCGUGAGCGUCACGCGCGCGAACGUCAUGCGCGCAUCGGCGAACUGACGCAUGCUGACGUCACUGAUGACAUCAUCCAAUGGUCGAUAACUGCCGGAUGACGUCAUCAAUGACAUCACCACUAGCGGCAGUUGGCCGACCAGUCGCUGGCCGGUGACCCAACCCGACCCGUUGGCUGAUCAACCUGUUCGGUGGUCAAACCGAUUGGAUCAAUCAGACCGCCAGGAGCCUUAUGGCUCGCUAGUGCGUGCGCCACACACACCACACACUCAGGCAACGGGUGUGGGUGCUUGAGGGCUCCGAUUGGAAUGUGAUUAGCGGCGUUUGGUUCGUAUGGAUAUUUUCCACAUUGUAGUAUAAUUAUUUUAUAUUUUUAGUUUUUUACAGGUAUAAAAAUGUGUAGGGAACUCUAAGUAUACGUAUUUUUGGGAUACAAAUGCAUUGUUUAUUCAUUUUUAGCAUGUUUUUUUUUCCUUGUGAUUUUGGAAAUACAGUAGCUAGCCUACAUGAAAAUAAUGUCAAAUACGUUGUGUAAAGUUUGGUUCAAUGAUAGCAUGUAAAUUAUUUAAUAUACAAUUGUUGGAAAUCCUUGAUUUUUUGUUACAUGUUGAAUUACGGUUUUGAUUGUAGUUGUUGCAUGAUAGUUUUGUGUACGUUGUUCACGUCAUGCUAUGCUUUUGUGUUAAUGGAAAAAAAAUGUAGAAAUUACAUGAGGUCAUAUAAUUGUUUUUUUUUUUCAAGUAGGAGUUCGUAGGUUGGUAGAAUUCGAAGGAGUUCUCACCUAGAAUUUAAAAUUUACGCAAAUUAAACAAUUAAUGAUAAUAGAACAGUCGUAUAUAGAAACUGGUUUGGAAAAUAGUGAACUUACAUUUUUGUGUCCUUUGUUGAAUUAUCAUUAAUUUAGUUUGUCUUUAUUGCAAAUUAAAUAUGUGUGUUACUCUAAAAAAAAAUGUGCUAGUAUUGAUUCUGCAUUUAUUAUGUGAAUAUAUUAUAGCAAUUGAUUAUGGCUUCGGCAUCCAAAACUAUUGUGGUUGACCUCAAUAAGGAUGAGAAGCUGAACAGUGAUAAUUAUGAUAUUUGACAUCGAAAGGUUCAGUACAUCUUUGAGGAGCAAGAGGUUUUGGAAACCCUCAUCCACACUAUAGAUGAACCUAAGCAUGGAACUUCAGCUCAACGCAUGAGAGAUCUAGAAGCUUAUCAAGCUUGGAAGAAGAAAAAUAGCAUUGCUCCAUCACGUUAUUGAUAAGUAUGCAAGAUGAUCUCAUGUAUGAGUUUGAAAGUUAUGAUAAAGUUCAAGUAAUGUGGGUUCUCUUGAAAGAUAAGUUUGGGGGUACAUCUGUCACUAAGUUGAGGAGACUCACCAUCAAGUUUGACAUAUACCGAAAGCGCCCAAAAAUGUAACAAUAAGGCAAUAUUUUUAGGAGAUGUCAAACAUGAUUCGUGAGUUGAAGGCAGCAGGUCACUCUCUUACUGAUAAACAACAAGUUCAUGCUAUUAUAAGGUCUCUUCCUGACAAUUUGGAGCAUAUGAAGAUCAAUAUGACACAUAAUGAAAAUAUUGUCACUUUUGAUAAUAUAAUGCGUCAUUUGGAAUUAGAGGAUGAGCGUCUAAAGGCUGUGAGAUCCUUUACCCAUGCUUAUGUUACUGAAUCGAGUUCGCGCAAAACUUUGGGCUUCAACAACAAAGAGAAGAAGAUUGAUCAGGCACCUAAAAGGGCUAAGACCUUCUAACACAAAAAGCGUGGUGGAAAGAAGGACAAGGCCAAGAUGAAGUGCUACAACUGUGGCAAGAUGAGUCACUUUACUCGUGAAUGUACUGAGUCGAAAGAGGUACCCUAUUACUCAAUUACUGGAAGUAAUACUUUUGUUUCUAGUACUGUAAUACUUGUUGAAUCUCAUCCAAUGUGGACUAUAGACUUAAGAGCAACAUACCACGUAGUUAGAGACCAAGAAGCAAUUGGGAAGUAUUGUCAGAUAUAGCUUAGAAGAAGAUAGAUAUAUGUUGGGAAUAACUCAAGAGUUGAAGUGAAGAGUAUCAGCACAUGUAAAUCAAUUAUACGUGGUGGUUGAAGCCUAUUCCUACAUAAUGUCCUCUAUGCCCUAGAUAUUCGAUAAAACUUGGUCUCCGUAGUUGUUCUUUUUAGCCUAUGUUAUGUAUUGAAUUUCCAUGAUGAUUGUGUUAACAUUUUGUUUGGAACAGUUUAUUAUGAUUCAGGUCAUGUAUUGAAUGGUUUUAUGGUGUUAGACAUUGACUAUGAUCAAUACAAUAUUAAUGUCGAUGGUUGUUUAAUUGUAUCUUCUAGUAAUAUUAAGAUUGAUGCAAGUACUUGGCAUGCUAGAUUAGGUCACAUUGGGUUACAAAGAAUGUAAAGAUUAGCUAGAGAAUGCCUUUUAGGAUCACUCAUUAAUGUUAAUCUACCCGUAUUUAAACAUUGUCUAGCGGGAAAAAUAACUAGAAAACCAUUCACUAAAGGAAUUAGAGUCGAAUUUCCAUUGCAACUCAUACAUACUAACAUUUGUGGUCCUUUAAACGUGAGGGCGAGGUAUGAAGCCUCAUAUUUAAUCACUUUCAUAGAUGACUUCACGCGUUUCGGUUAUUUCUUUCUAAUCUCCCACAAGUCAGAAGCAUUGGACUGCUUUAGACAAUAUAUAGCGAUAGUGGAGAAUUAGUUGAAUAAAACAAUAAAGGCAUUGAGAACUGAUCGCGGAAGUGAGUAUCUAUCUAAGCAAUUCAAGGCUAUUUGUAAUGAAAAGGGAAUUGUACGGUAAUUGACUAUUCCGGUACUCCACAACAAAAUGGGACUGCUGAGAGAAGGAAUACAACUCUAUCGAAAAUGGUUAGGUCUAUGAUGGCGCAAACAAAUUUACCUAUCUCCUAAUGGGGAGAUGCAUUAUUGACUGCUACCUAUGUACUUAACCGAGUGCCCCCAAAACUAACCACUUCCAUCCCUUAUGAAUUAUGGACUGGUAGGAAACCAGACUUAAGUAUUCUACGUCCAUGGGGAUGUGCAACUUAUGUUCAUAAUUCUUCUCAUAAAUAUGACAAAUUAGGUCCUAAAGGGAAGAAAUGUAUCUUUAUAAGAUAUUCUAAACACUCCAAAUGGUACGUGUUCAUUAGUGAACAAGCUGAUGGAAGCAUGAUCGAAAUGAAAUCACGAGAUGUCACUUCUUGGAGAAAGAUUUUCCUAGUAGAUGAAAUAUUAAUAAGGACUUCUUCUAAUUAUAUAAGAUGGAAGAUCCUAAUAACAUACCCACUAAUAUUGUAGAGGAAAAUGAAGAUUGACCUCAAUAUACAAGACCUAGUGAGAGUGUUACAUCGCCUGACGAAUUGAAUUCAAGAGAAAUUCAGUUACGUAAAAGUAAUCGUAAAAGUAUUCCUCGUCGUCGUUUUGAGAUUGAAGGGGAAUCAUUUAUGAUUGCUCAGAAAAACGAUGUUGAGCCUAAAACUAUUCAAGAGGCUCUCUCAUUCUCUAAUAAGGAAGAAUGGAGAAAAGUUUUGGAAAAUAAAAUGGAGUCAAUGAGAGCAAAUCACAUCUGAGACUUGGUUGAUCUACCACUCAAUCGCAAGGCCAUUUGAAACAAAUGGGUUUUUAAAAUUAAGCGAAGGGCGGAUGAAUUCAUUGAAAAGUAUAAGGCUCAUCUUGUGGCGAAAGGUUAUACUCAACAAAAGUGUAUAUAGAUUAUGAGGAAAAAUUUUCACUUGUUGUAAGGUUUGCCUUAAUACGCCUUAUCCUAGCCAUCAUUGCAUAUUUAGACCUUGAAUUACAUUAAAUGGAUGUAAAGACGACAUUUCUCAAUGGAAAACUAGAUGAGGAAAUUAAUAUGAAGCAGCCAAUAGAUUUCAUAGCUAAAGGUCAAGAGCAUAAAGUUUGUAAGUUUCAUCGCUCAAUAUAUGGCCUUAAGCAAUCAUCUAGACAGUGGUAUCUUUAUUUUCAUUGAGCCAUAACAACUUUUGGAUUUGCGAUGAUCGAACGAUUUUUGGAUUUGCGAUGAUCGAAGAAGAUCACUGUGUAUAAGUCAAGCAAUCCAAAAAUAAAUUUGUGAUUCUAUCACUUUAUGUAAACGAUAUUCUAUUGGCUGGAAAUGACAAGGUUUCAGUUAUCACUAUAAAAGAAUGAUUGUCCUCCAAUUUUGAAAUGAAGGACAUGGGAGGAGUUAAGAUCGAAUGAGAUCGAUCAAGGAAACUCCUUACUUUAUCAUAAGAGUCUGAUAUAAUGAAGAUUCUUGAAUGUUUCAAUAUGCAGCACUGUAAUCCCAUUAAUACCCCCGUCAUGCAAGGUGAAAGCCUAAGUACUAAGAUGUGUCCUAAGACUCUAGAAGAAAAUAAAGUGAUGGAAAUUGCUUUUUACAAUAGUGCAGUCGGAAGUUUGAUGUAUGCUAUGAUGUGUACUCGACCCGACAUAUGUUAUGCCGUGGGAUUGGUGAACCGAUAUCAAUCAAAUCCCGAUCAAGCACAUUGGAAAGCAAUGAAGAGGAUCCUGAGAUACUUAAAAGGCAUCAUAGACUAUUGACUUUGUUAUUAAGGGAAUGAUUUACACCUAUUAGGCUAUUCAAAUGCUGAUUGGGGUGAAGACCUAGAUGAAUGUAAAUCUACUUUUAGAUAUGCGUUUUUGCUCAAUAGAGGUGCAAUAUUUUGGAAUAGCAAGAAACAGACAUGCAUGACCUUGUUUACGAUAGAUGCAGAAUUUAUUGCAUGCUCUACCGUAAUGCAAGAAGCAAUAUGGUUAAAAUGUUUCUUGAAAAAUUUAGCCACUGUCACUGAGGUUCCAAGAUCAGUGAUAGUUCUUUGCGAUCAUCAAGCAGUCAUUGCUUAUACAAAAGAUCCGAAGUAUCAUGGAAUGACGAAGCACAUUGACAUAAAGAAUAACUUCAUCAGAGAUAUAAUAAUGCAGAAAGAAGUGAUCCUACAAUACAUUCUAACUAAUAGAAUGGUCAUUGAUUCAUUUACGAUGGCUAUUCCUAGAUACGUAUUCUUGACCCACAGGAUGUGACUAGAAUGACAUAGAAUGUGAUAUGUGUUAUUGUAAAGGAUCAUUGGUUUAUGUAUAUGUGGAUAUAUGUAUUAUACUUGUUUAUUUAUAGGUUAAUACCCUAAAAAACCCAAAACUAGUACACUUAUGACAAAUUUACCCCAAACUAUUUUUUUGACCAUAAAAAAUCCCAAACUAGUACACCUGUGACAAAUUUAC